UACGAGAGGCCCAAACGUUAUUCGGAUUUACUGGGCUUAAAGAGUUCGUAGGCGGCGCGGAAAGUAGGGUGUGAAAGCCCUCGGCUUAACCGAGGAAUUGCGCUCUAAACUACCGUGCUUGAGGACCUAGAGGUGAGCAGAACUGAUGGUGGAGCGGUGAAAUGCGUUGAUAUCUACAGGAACUCCGGUGGCGAAAGCGGCGUGCUGGACCUUUUCUGACGCUGAGGCGCGAAAGCUAGGGGAGCAAACGGGG
rnacentral:rRNA from 1 species